rnacentral:rRNA from 1 species
UACGUAGGUGGCAAGCGUUGUCCGGAAUUAUUGGGCGUAAAGCGCGCGCAGGCGGUCCUUUAAGUCUGAUGUGAAAGCCCACGGCUCAACCGUGGAGGGUCAUUGGAAACUGGGGGACUUGAGUGCAGAAGAGGAAAGCGGAAUUCCACGUGUAGCGGUGAAAUGCGUAGAGAUGUGGAGGAACACCAGUGGCGAAGGCGGCUUUCUGGUCUGUAACUGACGCUGAUGCGCGAAAGCGUGGGGAGCAAACAGG